UGAUGCCGCGGGACCGGGUACUACAUAUUCCAGAAUGCACCGCGAUAGUGACGACAACAUGGCGACGUACCUGUCCACUGCCCCUACGAAACUACUAAUUUCCUCGUCAUUAGUUUGAAUCAAGUUAAAGAGUUACAGAGAAGGAUUCAACUUUGUUUUGAACACACCUUCACGUGUUUAAUUGCUCAUUACCUUUGGCUGGAGCGACCUGACGUCACACGUCACCCGUUCACUUGAUGUCAGAGAGACAGCCACGUCUCAGAAUGCAUCGCGAUAAACAAACAUUCACUUUGCUAUCAUCUGCAGUCUUCCAAAGAACCUUGUUAGGGAUGGGCAGGAGCACCAUGCCUCUCCAGUUGUUGCAUAUGAUGAGGUUUCCUCUUUCACUACGGUGACAAUUCAGACCAUUUUCCAUUCUAUUGGGAUCACGUCUGAGAAAGUGGUAAAAAACCCCUGUCGUCACUAUGGGAUCAGUUUUCAGAAUAUAAGAGGGAUAUUGUCAACUCCUGGUGCUUUUUCAGCUUUCAUUUUUUUGACAGUUCUGGUUCAUUCAACCUUAGACACACUUCCACUGUUGACCUUCAGUUUUCUGAUGGGACCCUGCUGUUAUUUCUGGGGAGGUCUAUUUAGGAGGAAAUGUUCCUCCCGCCGGUCCAGUUCUUGAGCUUCCUCUCCAAGGAGUUGUCCCUGUUUAUUCCUCACUGCUUAACUAAUGGUUCAUUUUUUUUAACGCUAGUUGUGUUGGGAUUUUGUAACUAUCUUCCAUGUUCCUCUAUUGAGCUGCAAC